GUCUCUGUCGAACAGAUAUUAUUAGCAAUGGAGAAAAUGCUAAUAAACAUUUCUUAUACUGUUAUCUCUAGUUUCCAAUUCUACCUUCAGCCCCUGCUAAAAUUUCUCUUUCCAGCACGCACCAACCAGAGCUUUGUUCCUGACAAACUAAGCCAAGAAGAGUUAAAGAUUGUGAUGGAACAACUUGGAGUUUUUUAUGAUAGAGAUGACGAGCUUCUGCAUCAAGAUCAGAGGUUAUUAGGUGCAGAUGAUCUCUCAAGAUUGUUCGAGGAAGAAGAACCCAGCUUGGAAGAACUGAAGGAAGCAUUUGAUGUGUUUG
rnacentral:misc_RNA from 1 species